rnacentral:rRNA from 1 species
GACGAACGCUGGCGGCGUGCUUAACACAUGCAAGUCGAACGGAAAGGCCCUGCUUUUGUGGGGUGCUCGAGUGGCGAACGGGUGAGUAACACGUGAGUAACCUGCCCUUGACUUUGGGAUAACUUCAGGAAACUGGGGCUAAUACCGGAUAGGAGCUCCUGCUGCAUGGUGGGGGUUGGAAAGUUUCGGCGGUUGGGGAUGGACUCGCGGCUUAUCAGCUUGUUGGUGGGGUAGUGGCUUACCAAGGCUUUGACGGGUAGCCGGCCUGAGAGGGUGACCGGCCACAUUGGGACUGAGAUACGGCCCAGACUCCUACGGGAGGCAGCAGUGGGGAAUAUUGCACAAUGGGCGGAAGCCUGAUGCAGCAACGCCGCGUGCGGGAUGACGGCCUUCGGGUUGUAAACCGCUUUCGCCUGUGACGAAGCGUGAGUGACGGUAAUGGGUAAAGAAGCACCGGCUAACUACGUGCCAGCAGCCGCGGUGAUACGUAGGGUGCGAGCGUUGUCCGGAUUUAUUGGGCGUAAAGGGCUCGUAGGUGGUUGAUCGCGUCGGAAGUGUAAUCUUGGGGCUUAACCCUGAGCGUGCUUUCGAUACGGGUUGACUUGAGGAAGGUAGGGGAGAAUGGAAUUCCUGGUGGAGCGGUGGAAUGCGCAGAUAUCAGGAGGAACACCAGUGGCGAAGGCGGUUCUCUGGGCCUUUCCUGACGCUGAGGAGCGAAAGCGUGGGGAGCGAACAGGCUUAGAUACCCUGGUAGUCCACGCUGUAAACGGUGGGUACUAGGUGUGGGGUCCAUUCCACGGGUUCCGUGCCGUAGCUAACGCUUUAAGUACCCCGCCUGGGGAGUACGGCCGCAAGGCUAAAACUCAAAGGAAUUGACGGGGCCCCGCACAAGCGGCGGAGCAUGCGGAUUAAUUCGAUGCAACGCGUAGAACCUUACCUGGGUUUGACAUGGAUCGGGAGUGCUCAGAGAUGGGUGUGCCUCUUUUGGGGUCGGUUCACAGGUGGUGCAUGGCUGUCGUUAGCUCGUGUCGUGAGAUGUUGGGUUAAGUCCCGCAACGAGCGCAACCCUUGUUCACUGUUGCCAGCACGUUAUGGUGGGGACUCAGUGGAGACCGCCGGGGUCAACUCGGAGGAAGGUGGGGAUGACGUCAAGUCAUCAUGCCCCUUAUGUCCAGGGCUUCACGCAUGCUACAAUGGCUGGUACAGAGAGUGGCGAGCCUGUGAGGGUGAGCGAAUCUCGGAAAGCCGGUCUCAGUUCGGAUUGGGGUCUGCAACUCGACCUCAUGAAGUCGGAGUCGCUAGUAAUCGCAGAUCAGCAACGCUGCGGUGAAUACGUUCCCGGG